UACGUAGGGUGCGAGCGUUAUUCGGAAUUACUGGGCGGAAAGGGUGCGCAGGUGGCCGCGCAAGUCGAGUGUGAAAUCCCCGAGCUUAACUUGGGAAUUGCGCUCGAAACUACGUGGCUCGAGUGUGGCAGAGGAAGGUGGAAUUCCACGUGUAGCGGUGAAAUGCGUAGAGAUGUGGAGGAACACCGAUGGCGAAGGCAGCCUUCUGGGCCAACACUGACGCUCAUGCACGAAAGCGUGGGGAGCAAACAGG
rnacentral:rRNA from 1 species